GUAUUGUUUUGCUUUUACUGCAGCUUUACAGGUGAAGUGCAGCUCACUUUGAUGUUUUAAAGAUUCAGCCAGAAACAUGCAUGUGAUGUCACCAACACUGACGUAUAUUUAAAGGUGUCACAGAGCAGUAUUGGAGCCAACGCAUAUGCCGUGAUUCCUCUUUCUACUGUCACUAUUGAUCAAAGUGAAGUUAUUCUGCAGUGUCAGAUCCUUAUUGAUUUUGUUACCUUUAGUUUCUGCUGUAAAUGUGUGUUGGACCGAAAUUAGUGUACUUCAUGUCAUUGUUCAUUUGUGAUGAUUUGUCAAUGAUUUUAAAGCAUUUAGUCGAUUUUUAUAUUUACAUUUUAGAAUAUAUCCUGCUGAUUUGACCAGCAGUUACAUCAUCAGUCUAACUGGCAGUUUACACUGUAACACUACCUUCACCAUGUUUAACAGAUUAUGUGAUAUGUUUAGGAUUAUGAGCAGCUCUGUCCUUAUUAAAUAAUUUCUCCCU